rnacentral:piRNA from 1 species
UGAGCAAAAGAAGUCAGACAUAAAAGGGCU